UAAAAAAAAAAAAAAAAAAGUAGAAGAAGUUCUGGUGCUAUAUUUUAAUGUCUUCAAUGUUAUAAACUAUUUCAACCAACUAUUUUCUGAUUUUAUAUUGUUCUUGCACUGGUGAAGAAAAGUGGAAUUUCAAUUUCAAAUGGCUGUAAUUAUAUUGCGUUUUCUCGUUUAAUAUCAAAUCAAACAAUUAAACGUUAGUAUGAACAAUGGCUUACACCACAUUGAUCGUGUGAUCUCUCCAACACUUGAUUUUGUUACGCUCGAGUUAGUACUAUUUGUGCAAGUGAAAAAUGAGGGCUGGCCCAUUCUUCAUGUUGCUGCUUUGCUUUGCUUUUCAGGUGGAAACUAGGCAUGAAAAAUUUUGCAAUCUGCUCGUCAAUCCGUAAAACAUGAUAUGAUAUUGCGACUUGUACUUGCAAACCUAGUUAGGAAACAGAAACAGCAAAGCAAUUACAUGUGCGGACCAAACCUAAACCUUUUGGAUUCAGACAUUUUGGAUCAGCUUAUUGAUUAGCGAGUGCAUUAGUCCAACAAGCUCCGGCGAUUCUAUCUUCAUAUGUGUGAACCAAUGGAUUAAUUUCAUCUUUUUGAACUUAGCCAAUCUAAUAACAACCUCUGAACCCGACUUAAGGUUCAAUUUUUUUUUUUUUCCUGGUCUGAUUCAGUGGUCAAGAAAUUGAAUUUGUAAUUCAUGGUUAGAGAAAGUUCAAAGGUAUUCGUAUUAACCAAUCUAAAAAGUCCAUAGGAAAAUCCAACACAAACACAACUCCACGUGUCACAAACACAGCCCCGAAAGAUGCAACUAUAGAUUCUGUUAACUUCAUACUCGCCCCACUCACUUUGAACUUCCUGGUAUAUUGUAAAAACAAGAGCACUUUCAAAACAUGGUGGCAGGGAUCACCAUUUCUUCUCCAAAAUCCACAAUCUUGCAGAAUCCAAUCUCCUUAAAAGAACCAAAUUCUUGUUUUCCCGGCGGUUCCUUGAAGGGUCUUUCUUUACUAUUUAAACCCAGAAAUAAAAUAAGAGAUAACGUUAGUUUGGUGGUUGCUGCAGCAAGUAGUACCCCCUCCAAAACUAGCACCACCAGCACCAGUCGCGGCAGGUUUUAUUUUAACUUUACAGGGUUUCCUUUUCCUCUUGGUCCUUUCCUCAAUAGAAGUACCAUAAGGACUGAGGUCAGUAUCUUUAUUUUAUCUUAAAGUUUUAAUUGCUCCCACUCUCUUGUAGUUCUAAUCGCCAUCUCAUUGAAAUUUACAUAAUUAGAGAGAAAAUAUUGUGACUGCAUUCUUUAUUAGUGCAUUAAUCUGUCUUUCUAUUCAUUAUUUCCCCCAUAUGCUACUUGGUAUUUUUCAAUUUGAGGUAGAUAAGCUGACACUAAUUUUGCAUGUAUUGCUGUUGUUACAAUGUGUUUUGUCUGUUGAACCAACAUUCUGGUAUAUUUCUUUUGUCUGUAAUUCAGCCGCUGUCAUUUUUUCUCUUAUAUUAAGCCAUAAAAUAUUUUAAAUAUAUGGCUUGAAUUGGGCAGAUAGAGAAUAAUUUUGUAGUUUGUAUGAUUGAUUUUUGGAGGGAAAGGGGAAGGGGAAGGAGAAGGAGAAUGGAUGGGAAGAAGCACUUUUUAUUUUUGAAGUCUCUUAGCUAAUAGUUUUAUUUUGUUCUUUUUCUGAAGGAAGCUUUUUCCAGCCUUUUCCAUAUUAUAAUUCUGGGAUGCUAUGUAUUUGUAUGCCAUUGGCUCAAACUUACAAAUUAUUGUAUUUCACAUACCCUUGGAAGAAUGAGAAAGAAACAAAAUGCUCUUUGCAAGCACUUCCUUUCCUUUCUGAGCUGGGGUUCUCAAUUGACACAGGAGCUUUAUGUUAUCAUCUAAAGUUUCAAGUUGUCUUUGAACUGGCAAUAAAUGACAUUUUGGCUUGUUCAAUCUAGAUUGCAGAACAGCUGUGUACUAGACAUCUAUGGGAUAUACGAAUAACAACUAUACCCAAGAAGUUAGCCUAAGUUAUAGGACUUGUAAGAGGAUAAUAUGUUUUUUCAAUUUCUACGUGAUUGAAUAUGUAGCCAAAUGGUAAGUUGACUUGUUAGUGACUCAGAAAAGAAAGAGUUCCCAUUUGAUUGACUGAGAUAAUUAAGUAAAGGACAUAUAUAUAUAUAUAUAAAUAGUAACUAGUUCUGUUUUUCUUAGUUCAUUUGAUAGAGUUUUCUCUUUUUCUUCUGUUAAUGUACUUUGUAUGUAGUGAAAGGUUCCAUAUGGCUAUUCGAACAAGAGCAAGCAUUAGGCUUCAGCAGUGUGUCAACAAACAUUCGAAUGACAGUUAUCAAACUCAAAUCUAGAGGAUUAUGGAUCCAUGCACCCAUUGCUCCAACCAAGAAGUGUUUUCAGGUUCUAUCUUGUUCUCUAAAUUUCCCCUUUUAGCUAGGAUACUAAAUAGUCAAUUUAGCUGUAUUAUUUGGAACUUGAGCACAUGAAUUUUGACUUUGUUUCCACAACAUGUGAAGCCAUCUUAUAUACCUGAUCUUUUCUAAACUUGGAUUACUGAAUGAAAGUACCUACUUUUAAUCAGAAUAUAACCUAUGUUUUCCCUCUUAAAGGCCAAAAACUAUGAAAUGAGAGUCCAAUAGCCCCUGAAGUGUUAGUUGCCUGAGGAUGACCUGAGAGAAACACCAGCCAGUAUUUAUAGAAGUUGAUUAUCUGUGAUUAGCAGAAUUUUCUGUAUCAUAUUUAUAGCCUUUUUUAUUACUUUAGUUUUUCAUCUCUAUUAAAUUCUGCAUGGUCUGCACUUCUG
rnacentral:misc_RNA from 1 species